AGAGGAAGUAAAAGUCGUAACAAGGUUUCCGUAGGUGAACCUGCGGAAGGAUCAUUAAUGAUUGCGAAUAGUUGCCUUCGGUGCUGGCCUUGCAGGUGCACGUUGGUGGCUUUCAUCCAAUACCCUUGUGAACCUCUGGCCUCUUGCUAGCUUUGGCUUGCAGAGGAAUUUACACAUACUCGAAUGUAAUGAAAUCUAUUGUUGUGCGCAAGCACUAAUGUACAACUUUCAACAACGGAUCUCUUGGCUCUCGCAUCGAUGAAGAACGCAGCGAAAUGCGAUAAGUAAUGUGAAUUGCAGAAUUCAGUGAAUCAUCGAAUCUUUGAACGCACCUUGCACCCUUUGGUAUUCUGAAGGGUAUGCUCGUUUGAGUGUCAUUGUACUCUCACACUUCUGAUCCUUUGGAUUCAGGAGCGGUGGACUUGGGUGUUUGCUGCUUUGCUUGUGGCUCACCUUAAAUGCAUCAGUGCAUCUCUUGGUUGGACAUAGUACAGCGUGAUAAGUGUCUUCGCUGGCUCCUCGAAAGAGGGUGGCUAAUCAGGGCUCUGUGCUUUCAAACUGUCUUCAGACAAUUCUGACAACUUGACCUCAAAUCGAGUAGGACUACCCGCUGAACUUAAGCAUAUCAAUA
rnacentral:rRNA from 1 species